UUUUUCAUGUGAAAAAGUCUGUUAAACAACGAAAGGCAUUUACCGAUUACUGCACCGCUGAAUUGUGAAUUAAUCUUAAACGAUGCAACAAACUCAACGGUAGAUUAGAUGUCACCAAAUAUGUUGUAAAUAUACCUCAGUGGACCCUUUCAUUGAGAUGUUUGAUCAUCAGCUGCGUCGUACACUAAUCUAUCUUCCACUUUGAGUCGGCCGCGUUCAGCCAUUUCUAUGUACAACAUAAGAUUUCUGUUUCACAAAUCUUUUUAUCUUUUACUUGUUUUGAUCAUUAGACUGCAGCCAUGCUGGGGUACUGCCUUGAGGAAGUUUAGUCAGUAAAUUUGGACAAGUACACCCACACGAAAAAAAGACCUCGGAUUUUUCGCGUGGAAUCAAGUACCCUGAACUCCUAAUAUGCCGCAAACCUCUUAUUUUGGUUCGGAAAAAGGGUGUUUAGUUUAUAACCAUACUGUAUUCAUGUUAAUUAGGAUUUGAAAUAAAUAUUGGGAAAUCUGUCUUCUUUAACAAUGUCUCACUGGAUAGUCUUUAACUGGGACUCAAUUAACUAUUUUACUUUUGUUGUGCCCUAGAAAAGAAGCACUUUUACCAUUUAUUUGGACUGCAACCAUGCUGGACUCAGUCAUUAGACUGCAGCCCUGCUGGACACCACCUUGGAGGUUUUAAUCAAACAAAUUGACUCCUAAUACUUAUUUUUUUAAGCCCAGCACUUAUUCUAUCGGUCUCUUUUUCCAAAUGGCUAAAUUAUUGGGACAUAACAAACCAACACUGGUUGUCAAAGCAGUAGGGGAAACAAACACAGACACAAAGACAUGCACAAAUAGAUAUAUAUGAAAUGCUUCCACACAAUUUCCAUCUACCAAAUUAUUCACUUACAAGGCAUUGGUUGGCUCAAGACUUUAAGUAGAAGACACACAAAGUGCUAUGCAUCCAUGUGAUUGCAAAACAAGCUUUCUUAAUCACACAGCUAUGUCUGUGCCUUUCUGUUGUGUUUUUGCUUUGAUUUAUGUCUCUCGACACUUGCAUAAAGCCACCUCCCUCCCUACACACUCCCAUUCAGGUGUGGAGACAUUUUUGUCUUAUAAGCUACUUGAAGGUCUCACUAGUGCCAAAGCCACAAUAAAAGUACCCAGUGCAUUCAGCAAAGUAGUUGAUGUGAGAAAGUGCCUCUAGUUAUAGAAGGCAUGCCAAAGCAGACAUUAGAAUUUGAGGGAGCCUUCCUACUCAUUGGAUCCUAUUAAGCUGUCCAGCCCAUGUCAACAUGGAAGACAGAUAUUAAAUGAUAAUGCUUAGGUAUGUAUGUAGAGAUAGAUAGACUGAUGGAUGUGUUUAUGUUUGAACUAGUGUCAAAUCUAAUAUGCUGUGUCUCAGUAUCUGCCAUAACUUCAUGGUUCAACAACAGUGAUCACAAGAAUAAGUACCACAGUCAAAUAUUGACUAAAUACUCUGGCAGUGGUCAGCAGCAUAGUUAGUGGGAGACAAUAAUUCCAAGUGACACUUUUGUUGAGGUGGUGUUUUGGGGUCUGACGUAGAAGCCUGUGUGGGGUAGAGGGAGCGUAGUAACUCAAGUUAGAGAAGCAUUGAUGACAAUUCAAAUACAAAACCCGGGAGAGGAAGGCCUCUCUGGGGAAUAUAUGAUAGUGCAGCAAAAUCUGAAGAGAAACCAACAGCCUGCUUUGGAUGAAGUGUCAUGACAGGAUGAACCAAGAAAUCUUUUGGAAGUACAUUAGACCAAAACUGUCUUCUGCCUUAUGAAGUACUUGUGUGCCUUAUUGUUUAGUUCUAAAAUUUUUGUUCCAUGUCACUUGCAAGUAUCCAACUUUCAUGCCUGUACAAUAAGAUUAAAGUGGCCAGAGAUUUGUAUGGUUUGAGCUUUGUGGGGAAAAUCUGGCUUAUCAAUAUCAUGUUCGGUUUAUAUCAUGGCAGACAAAGUCAAGCUUAGUUAGUUUUUAUCUCUUUUGAGCUGUUAUCCUUGCUCAAAGUGAAAUGAAAAUAUAUAAUCUAUAUUACAUCUAAAUACUAAAAACUUACAUUAUAUUAACAUUCACUGGAGUAGAAAACAAAAACUACCAAAAGAAUUCAUUUAUCUAUAAAACUGCAAAAUGCAAUGUAAUGCAAAGACAAAAAUAAGAAAAUUGUGAUGUCAUAAUGCAAUUAGAAAUGAUUUACCAGUUUUGAUAUUUUCAGUAACCAGUUGCAGUGAAAAAUUUCACAUUUCGAAUAAAUAUUUAAUUGUAAAAGUUUUGUAGCUCCACAUGUGGGCCAAAUACUUUUAGAAGAUACUAGUUCCUUGAAGAAUUUAGUGUAAUUUUAAAGAACAAGGAAGGUACAGCAUAAAAGAAUUUUGGUCAUCUUAAGAAAUGAGUGAUUCAAAAAGUUAUAAACAAAGCUGUGAGAAAAUAAGAUUGAAGCCAAUAGAGAAGAAGCAAUUGGAUGUGGUGCAUUUUCCAGACAAUCCUAUCAUUACAAACUGGGAACGUCUGGAAAAAGAGCGACUGAAGAAAUUAAAUUUAGGAUUUAACCGGUUGCAGGGUUCGGUUUAUCAGAUAGAAUUAGCAAAAGAACUUAAGAAACAGCGAGAAUUGGAUCCAAGUGCAAAAAUGAAAAGAUCACCAUCUCCCGUAGAAGAGGAAGAAGAAAAAGAAGAAUAUGUGUCAUCUGAACGUCAAAUAUCAUUUAAUCAACUAGCCCCCUUUAAAACGUACAAAACUAAAUAUACAUGUGGUUAUUUCUUUGAUUAUGAAAAUCAACACAAACGAAUUCGGAGGGGAAUUCCUCCUUGCAAUUUACCAUAUUGGCAAUCUAGGACAAAAUAUUAAAAUAGAAUCAUGUCCACACACACUCAGAUAUAUAUAUAUAUCAUGAGUAACUCUGGGUACUUGAGCCAGAGAGUGCAGCUUUAAAGAUCAAAAUCAUACAUCUAACAUAAGAACCAUCUGUUUGUGUACCAGCACUGCGCUGUACCUGCCUGUGAGAUGUUUGCGUUGCCGUGCUGGUCGUGUGUGGUAAUCUUUGCCCAACACUUGGCAUAUUAAUCAGAUUUCGACGAAUGUGCUGCAUCCGAUACAGAUUCCGUCGAAGGGAUUGUGCUUGGUUCAAAGUAUUCCAUUCUUCUUCUUCUCCUCCUCCUCCUCCUCCUACGUCUCUUUCAGGCGGAUUCUCUUUUUUCACUGGUUUGAACCUAAAUUGCAAAAUUUUACAAGAAAACAUUUAAAAAGUUAUAAACUAUAAGAAAGAAAA